rnacentral:rRNA from 1 species
GAUGAACGCUGGCGGCGUGCCUAAUACAUGCAAGUCGAGCGAACAGACGCGGAGCUUGCUCCUCUGACGUUAGCGGCGGACGGGUGUGUAACACGUGGAUAACCUCCCUAUCAGACUGGGAUCACUUCGGGAAACCGGAGCUAAUACCGGAUAAUAUAUUGAACCGCAUUGUUCAAUAGUGAGAGACGGUUUUGGUGUCUCUUCUCGAUGGUUCCGCGCCGCAUUAGGUAGUUGGUAAGGUAACGGCUUACCAAGGCUACGAUGCGUAGGCGACCUGAGAGGGUGAUCGGCCACACUAGAACGGAGACACGGUCCAGACUCCUAAGGGAGGCAGCAGUAGGGAAUCGUCCGCAAUAGGCGAAAGCCUGACGCAGCAACGCCGCGUGAGAGAUGAAGGUCUUCGGAGCGUAAAACUCUGUUAUUAGGGAAGAACAAAUGUGUAAGUAACUAUGCACGUCUUGACGGUACCUAAUCAGAAAGCCACGGCUAACUACGUG